rnacentral:rRNA from 1 species
AAUCAACGCUGGCGGCGUGCCUAACACAUGCAAGUCGAACGAGAAAGUGGAGCAAUCCAUGAGUAAAGUGGCGACCGGGUGAGUAACACGUGACUAACCUACCUUCGAGUGGGGGAUAACAUCGGGAAACCGAUGCUAAUACCGCAUAACAUCGCAAGAUCAAAGCAGCAAUGCGCUGGAAGAGGGGGUCGCGGCUGAUUAGCUAGUUGGCGGGGUAACGGCCCACCAAGGCGAAGAUCGGUAGCCGGCCUGAGAGGGCGCACGGCCACA